UACGUAGGGGGCGAGCGUUGUCCGGAUUUAUUGGGCGUAAAGAGCGUGUAGGCGGCCAGGUAGGUCCGUUGUGAAAACUCGAGGCUCAACCUCGAGACGUCGAUGGAAACCAUCUGGCUAGAGUCCGGAAGAGGAGAGUGGAAUUCCUGGUGUAGCGGUGAGAUGCGCAGAUAUCGGGAGGAACACCAAUGGCGAAGGCAGCUUGCUGGGACGGUACUGACGCUGAGGCGCGAAAGCGUGGGGAGCAAACAGG
rnacentral:rRNA from 1 species